ensembl:lncRNA
AAGUGACAAGACAAGUUUAAAGUACAGAGAGAAACGAUGGAAAUGGUGAUGAUGAGGAUGUUGAAAACGACACAAGGGGAGAGAGAGCAAAAAGCAAAUUCAGUUCCCAGAACACUGUUAGAGGCAAAGUCAGCGAAGAGUGUUGAAUGUGUGUUGCAGCAGGAGAGGGGCACAUCAGACUGUUUCCUGGCAUUCUGCACAGGGAUUCUGUUACACUGAGCCAUUGGGGAGGAAGGUGAAAUAUCUGUUUCAUUUGAAGUGAAACCUGUCCUGCCUCAGUGCAAAAUCUCUGCUAUGCUCAUAUAAAAUAUAAAGUACUACAUAAAGCUUUUUGCAGUUUUUCAGAAAGUAACAACAAUAGAAUCAACAGUUCACCACAAUCAGUGCUGGGGAAUGUUACUUUAAAUAGUAACGUGUUACAUGUACUAGUAGCUAAUUCAAUUAGACUGUUACCUUUUAUGAAAAGUUACGUGAUAUUUUUGUGUUAUUUUGUCCAGGCGUCAAUUAGCUAAGGCUCUCUGUCUUCUAGAAUGGUGGUUUCCUGCUUGGGUUGUAAACAUUUUUAGGUAAUUUUGCUGUGAAAAGUAUUUGUCCCGACUUGAUUUGCCCACACCAACAAAUGUAGAAUGAAACCCCAUUUAUGAUUGUUUUAAUGUCAUACAAAGACUGCAUAAGUGUUUUUACACAAGAGUUACAAUUUCUGGAAACAAUGCAUUAUACUGUACAUGUGUCUGUUUGUAACAUGCUUGUUACAGAUUUUAAGGUGGCUUUAGUAUGCUAUUUAUCCGCAACAAGUUAACCAUGUCAAGACACUUUACGUAAAUUACUUGUAAUUGAAUAUUUCCAAUUGUAUCAGAUAAUUAACAGAAAAGUAACAUUACGUAUUAGUAAUAAUAUGAUACUUAUGUGCCAUUACCAUUACAGGUUACUUAUGUGCUUUUACCAUUGUGUUACCUGUGCUCUGUUAAUGUUACAUGUUACUUAUGUGCUGUUACCAUUGUGUUAUGUAUGCUCUGUUAACAUUACUUGUUACUUAUGUGCUGUUACCAUUGUGUUACUUAUGCUCUGUUAACGUUACAUGUUACUUAUGUACUGUUACCAUUGUGUUACUUAUGCGCUGUUACCAUUGUAUUACUUAUGCGCUGUUACCAUUGUGUUACUUGUGCUCUGUUAACGUUAAGUGUCACUUAUGCACUGUUACCAUUGUGUUACUUGUGCGCUGUUACCAUUGUAUUACUUAUGCGCUGCUACCAUUGUGUUACUUGUGCUCUGUUAAUAUUACGUGUUACUUAUGCGCUGUUACCAUUGUGUUACCUGUGCUCUGUUAACAUUACGUGUUACUUAUGCACUGUUACCAUUUUGUUACUUGUGCUCUGUUAAUGUUACGUGUUACUUAUGCACUGUUACCAUUAUGUGUUACUUAUGCGCUGUUACCAUUACGUGUUUACGUACAAAACUAAACCUGUUCCAUAUUUGAAAAAGUACUGCAGCAUAAAUGUUAAAAGUAACACGUUACUUUACUUGAUACUCGACAAGAAAUAUGCACACAUAAUGUUAUGUUACUAGUAACACGUUACCCCCAACACUGACCACAAUGAAUAAAAUACUCCACACAUAGACA